UACGAAGGGGGCUAGCGUUGCUCGGAAUCACUGGGCGUAAAGGGUGCGUAGGCGGGUCUUUAAGUCAGGGGUGAAAUCCUGGAGCUCAACUCCAGAACUGCCUUUGAUACUGAAGAUCUUGAGUUCGGGAGAGGUGAGUGGAAUUCCUGGUGUAGCGGUGAAAUGCGCAGAUAUCAGGAAGAACACCAGUGGCGAAGGCGGCUCACUGGCCCGGUACUGACGCUGAGGCACGAAAGCGUGGGGAGCAAACAGG
rnacentral:rRNA from 1 species